AGAGUUUGAUCCUGGCUCAGGACGAACGCUGGCGGCGUGCUUAACACAUGCAAGUCGAGCGGGGAUUGAUGGAGUGCUUGCACGAAAUCAAUUCUAGCGGCGGACGGGUGAGUAACGCGUGAGCAAUCUGUCCUACACAGGGGGAUAACACUUGGAAACAGGUGCUAAUACCGCAUAAGACCACGGUAUCGCAUGGUACUGAGGUAAAAGAUUUAUCGGUGUAGGGUGAGCUCGCGUCCCAUUAGCUAGUUGGUGAGGUAACGGCCCACCAAGGCGACGAUGGGUAGCCGACCUGAGAGGGUGAUCGGCCACAUUGGAACUGAGACACGGUCCAGACUCCUACGGGAGGCAGCAGUGGGGAAUAUUGGGCAAUGGGCGCAAGCCUGACCCAGCAACGCCGCGUGAAGGAAGAAGGUUUUCGGAUUGUAAACUUUCUGUCCUUGGUGACGAACACAAUGACGGUAGCCAAGGAGGAAGCCCCCGGCUAACUACGUGCCAGCAGCCGCGGU
rnacentral:rRNA from 1 species